CAGCCGCCGCGGGAAUACGAAGGGUGCAAGCGUUAAUCGGAAUUACUAGGCGUAAAGCGUGCGUAGGCGGUUUGUUAAGUCUGCUGUGAAAUCCCCGGGCUCAACCUGGGAAUGGCAGUGGAUACUGGCAAGCUAGAGUGUGUCAGAGGAUGGUGGAAUUCCCGGUGUAGCGGUGAAAUGCGUAGAGAUCGGGAGGAACAUCAGUGGCGAAGGCGGCCAUCUGGGACAACACUGACGCUGAGGCACGAAAGCGUGGGGAGCAAACAGGAUUAGAUACCCCUGUAGUCCCUGUCUCUUAUAA
rnacentral:rRNA from 1 species